rnacentral:rRNA from 1 species
CACGGGAUGCGUCAGCAACGGCGAGUGAAGCGGCAAAAGCUCAAAUUUGAAAUCCUUCGGGAGUUGUAAUUUGUAGAGGGGUGUCUUUGGGGCGGCAUUGUCUAUGUUCCUUGGAACAGGACGUCACAGAGGGUGAGAAUCCCGUGCGAUGAUGCCUCAACCAGUACAAGACCCUCUCGACGAGUCGAGUUGUUUGGGAAUGCAGCUCUAAGUGGGUGGUAAAUUCCAUCUAAAGCUAAAUACUGGCGAGAGACCGAUAGCGAACAAGUACAGUGAUGGAAAGAUGAAAAGCACUUUGAAAAGAGAGUGAAACAGUACGUGAAAUUGUUGAAAGGGAAGGGUAGGAGGUGAGGGGAAGAGCUGCUUAGGCGCGGGAGAUAAACAAGCAGGAAGCGCUUCGGUGCGGCCUGGUAAAUAUCCCGUGCUUGUGUGGUUCUUCCGUAAUCCCCUUCUACCGCCCGUCUAAAAAAAAAAAAAACAAAA